UGGGUGGAUAAGAGAAGCUUUGGUUAGGUAGAGAAUUUCGAUUGAAAGGAAUGAAAUUCUGAUUAUAGGUACUGAUUCUGUGAGGUGGUACAUUGGUUUGAAAGCUUUUACUGAAGGGCUUAAUUUUUUUACUACUCUCCACCAGCUGUUCUUGAAGCUUAGCAUGCUCACAUGUUUAUAACAACAAAUUAGGCUUUAACAUCCUCACCAUUGGCCUGAUCUCAUUCUUGAUUCCCCCAAUAAACACAAACAGAAAGUAAGAUUCUCCAAGAUUCGGCAUUAAUGUUUUCAUUCUCACCUUUAGUUCUUCAAAUUUGUCUUGGUACAUUCCAAUACUACCAUCUUGUCUGACCUGCAUGAACUCAUCUACCACAUCUUCCAGCUCAAGUUUCCCAAACCUCGCAAACAGGGUUUUUUUCAAAUUCCUCCCACACAUUAGCUCUAUCGUUCUUCUUCCAAUUAUGAUACCAAGCGUCUAUCCUAUCUAUCAAAAAAAGGCUAGCAAUCCCCACUCUUUGAUCUUCCGACACCUUAUACACCUCGAAAUAGUUUAUGCACUUUCUAAUCUAUGCUCUAAGCUCGGUUCCUUCAGAAGUAAUUAACUUAAUUUUAGAAAGAUGAUUACCUCUAGAUUCAGUGUUUGGUACCACUGACCGCAGGUCCUGGAUGAGUGUUACUGCCUUGAUCUUUCUGAGUUUCUGCCAUCUAAUCCUUAAGGAUAAGUAAGAUUCCUCGGCUCUCAAUACUAACCCUGUCUCCUUCGACAUCUUUCCUUUUACUUCUUAUCAACUGGAUUAGUAAGGCCUUUAAUUCAUCUAGAAUAGAGGUCUUGAUAUCAGUUAUGUUUUUUGCUAUCUCUUCUCGAAUACACAGCCUCAUUUCUUAGAAUUCCUAUGGAAACUUUGGUACAGAUCUUGUACUUGCUCCUCAACCUGCAUCAGUUUCACAGCUUCGGCAUUCACUAUCUGCAAUCUUGUCAUCCUUCAAUUCUACAAAAGAAUCUUUUCAUCGGAGAUUGAAAUAAUUUACCAUCCGCCAUUUAUGAGCACCUUAGUCGUCCAAUUUGCUUGGUGUCAAAACGAAGCUGGCGGGACGGGAAUGAAGAUCCCGAGGUCUAAUCCAUUUGGUUGUUGGUUGGCCGGAGUCAGCCUUGAAAGUUUUAGCGUCCUCAAACUUCUCUUUCUCCGAUCUCCCUCUUCUGACCAGCCAUUAGAUGUGAGAACCAUCGAUGGAAGGAACAGAGCAUCUCCCACCAGAUUGUGAGCUGAAGUUGGGGCAAGUCUACCGUGUUCUGCCCAUUUUAAACUCUGCUGCAAUGAUUUCUACUGCUCAAACAGCUGGCGGUGUGAAAGAGGAUCAAAGCGGUCAUUACAAAGCAACAACUUAAGCAGUUACUGACACAGCAGGUUCUUCUGAGGCUCGAGAGGACAAGUUGAGUCCAAGAGAGGCAAAGAUAAAGAAGACGUCACCCCACGCUCAGCUCUAGGCCAAUGUCUGAAUCCCAUGUUAUUUGUCAUGCAAGCUUUAACUCUCUAACUAAUGAAGUUUCCGGUUAAAGAUGCUCCAA